AGACAUUGCUGGAAAAUAACAUUAGAUGAAUGAUUGUGUCGUAAUAUAGUUUACAAUGGAGGAGAAGUUGUGUUAGUUCAGUUGAGGCAAGAUGGCAGCAUUUUAUCAUAACUGUGGUAUGGCUGCGAUUGAGUAUCUUGGUUAGUGUGUUAGUGGCACAUUGCCGUGGGGAGGUUUCACCUGGAUUAUAAUUAACAUAGGGGCGGAUAAAGUUUCAUUGAAUGGUGGAUGAUAACACAGUGGAAUAGAUGGUGACAGUAUGAAGAAUUUCCAUAAUUGCAUGGAGGGCAUGGCUUAGAAUAUGAUUAGAAAAUAAAAGAGGUUGAAGGAAGAUAAAUGUAUAACCUUCCUGUGUUAUAAUAGAAUACUCGUAAACUCUAACUGUCUGGUCACUUGAUAAUGUAUAGAGAUAAAACAACAAACUUGAAUUUUGUCGAUGUCAGAGGGAUGUACAAUCUUCCUGUGUCAUAUACAUAUAUGAAUGGUUUUAUAUUUGUACUCUACCACAACAAAAGGAAAGAAUUCAUUUGACCAGAAGAUGUAAUGCUCCCUGCAAUGGAAGAUAAAAAGCACC